GCCGACAUCUACUUUGGUUCAGCAAUGUUGAUGUUUCUGAAGCUUUCUUAUGCACCGACGUACGUUUCGAGCUAAACCUCUCUUCGGCAUUCAAAGCAUAGCUCAAAAGACCUCUUUUCAGUACUGACAUACGAUGGAUCCAUGUCCAUUUGUCCGUUUAAACGUCGAAUCUCUAGCUCUAAAGCUCCCUUUGGCCACCAAACCAGCCGGUUCCCGCGUCCACCCAUCUAAUACACCACGCUUUUGCAAAGUACGCAUCAAGAACUUCCCUUCUCAAACUGCCAUCCUUCCUUUCUGCUCUACUACUAAUGACUCUCCCCCCGAUACUUCCGCCUCCGCUGCCGGCUUCCAUCUGGACUCCACCUCCAUCCGCCGUCUUUCUGGUAAGCCCAUCACACUCCGUGUGGAAGUGUACACAGGUAGGAUGGGACACACCUGCGGGGUCGGCGGCGGCAAGUUACUAGGUUCGGUUCAGGUCAGUGUGGACUUGGGGCAUGUUCAGUCCAACCCCCGAGUGUUUCAAAAUGGGUGGUUAAAGCUGGGGAACCAACCAGAUAAGCCAGCAGCACGACUCCAUCUCGUGGUCCGUGCUGAACCGGACCCCCGGUUCGUUUUUCAGUUUGGUGGCGAACCUGAGUGUAGCCCAGUAGUUUUUCAGAUACAAGGGAAUAUUCGUCAGCCCGUUUUUAGUUGCAAGUUCAAUGCAGAUCGUAACUCAAGAUCCCGAUUUCUCCCAUCAGAUUUCACUGUUUAUAACAAUAACAGAGGAUGGAGGACCUUCCCCGGCGAGAAAGAACGUGCAGGAAGGGAGCGAAAGGGGUGGAUGAUUAUGGUAUAUGAUCUCUCUGGCUCCCCAGUUGCGGUUGCCUCUAUGAUCACACCAUUUGUUCCAUUACAAGGCGCAGACCGUGUUUCUCGAUCAAACCCUGGUGCAUGGCUAAUUCUCCGGCCGAAUGGAUUCUCUGUCAGCAGCUGGAAACCAUGGGGUCGUCUAGAGGCAUGGCGAGAGAGAGGUCCUAUUGACGGCCUUAGUUAUAAGUUUGAGCUCGUAACAGACAACGGUGGCCCUAGCGGAGGCAUCCCCAUUGCUGAAGCUACAAUGAGUGUAAGGAAGGGUGGCCAGUUUUGCAUUGAUAGUAGGAUAAUGAAGGAUUCUGGAUUGAGAUCAAGAUCACCAGUCAACGGUUUUGUGAUGGGUUCGACAGUGGAAGGCGAAGGAAAGGUUAGCAAGCCAGUGGUACAAGUAGGGGUACAGUACGUCACUUGCAUAGCUGAUGCUGCCUUAUUUAUAGCUCUUUCAGCAGCUGUUGAUCUAAGCAUGGACGCUUGCCGCCUCUUCUCCCACAAGCUUAGAAAGGAACUUUGCCAUGACGAGCAAGAAUUCUUCUCUUAGAGCUUAUAUAUAUCGUCGAUCCCUCGCCCUGCAGUGAUAACCAAUUAGUUUCAACUCCUGAGCUUACAAACUGUUGGUUUGAGCAAACAAGCACAUUCCGAAUUGAAUCUCAUCUUGAGUUCAAAUCCCAUUGGCAGCUAAUGGAAUUCCUCGUGUAUAGAUGACGCGAUUAAACCCUAUUAUAAAUUUUCAAUGGUUCUCCUUUUCCUUUUCGAAAUCUGCCUCUUCUUUCAUUUCCUCUUAGAAUUUACUCUUGGUAGGAGAGUGGCAUCUGAUCUGGUUUUGGAAGCUAGCUCGUCUUGGUUCAUUGGGUAGUUGGAAUUUGUCGGUUUCGAUUGGUUUUUGUCGCACAGCUUAUACUAGAGGGUUCUAUUUCGUUACACAACUAAACCAACAGAAUGAAAGUGUACAGACAAAAGAUAAAGACAAUUGUUUGUUCAUAUUUCCUCUUCUCCUCGCAUUAUGUGUACCAUGCAUAUCAGUCUUGUGUCCCUGUAUAAUAACACAGUUCGUGGAUUGCUAAACGGUAGCAUACCUUCUUAUUAUAUAGACAAAUAUACACGUAUUGACUCAAUUCUAAGCUCGUUAUUGGAUUUUUUAAAUUAAAGGGAUUAAUUUGUUGUAUAUAAAUUUAUUGGAAUAUUUGAUUGAAAUUAAUUUUUACGACCAUUGUAUCUUAAGUUUUUU
rnacentral:misc_RNA from 1 species